UCCCUGGCUGUCCAGUGGUUAGGGCUCUGAACUUCCACUGCAGGAGGCACAGGUUCAAUCCCUGGUCGGGGAA
rnacentral:tRNA from 1 species